ACAUGCUUACACCAUAACAUUAAUGCACCAGAUCCCAUUAAAACUCCGCAGUUAAGCGUUCUCAAGCUAGAGUUGUACUGGGAUGGGUGACCUCCCGAGAAUUCCUAGUAUUUUACAUGCC
rnacentral:rRNA from 1 species